rnacentral:rRNA from 1 species
GACAGUGGGAGCAGGCGUUAUUCUACUUAAUUGGGUGUAAAGGGUGCGUAGGUGGUUAAAAAAGAUUUUAUAAGAAAUGCUGCACACAAAAUUUGUAGAAAUUUAUAAAAAUAUUUUUUUAGCUGUGUGUUUAUAGAGAAUAAUGGAAUUUUUAGAGUCUAGGGGUUGAAUCCGAUGAUCCCAGAAGGAACACCAAAGGCGAAGGCAUUUAUUUGGGUAAAACAGACGCUAAAAGCACGAAGGUGUGGGUAGCGAACGGG